AACCUGCCCCAUAGUCUGGGAUACCACUUGGAAACAGGUGCUAAUACCGGAUAAGAAAGCGGAUCGCAUGAUCAGCUUUUAAAAGGCGGCGUAAGCUGUCGCUAUGGGAUGGCCCCGCGGUGCAUUAGCUAGUUGGUAAGGUAAAGGCUUACCAAGGCGAUGAUGCAUAGCCUAGUUGAGAGACUGAUCGGCCACAUUGGGACUGAGACACGGCCCAAACUCCUACGGGAGGCAGCAGUC
rnacentral:rRNA from 1 species